rnacentral:siRNA from 1 species
AUAUAUCCAACGUUUACUAUGC